GUUUUAAGUAUAUUUUUAUUGUUAUUUUAAAUGGCAUUCAAGUUUAGCUUCAAGUUCAACAGCAGUCUUAGCCUACUUCCUCCCACACAAAUACUCCUGCCAGUAAAUAGGCACUCUUAAAUAAAACAGUGCCUGCAAGAACCUUCUGACCCAUUGAAAUUAGUCUUGCCCUGUCUUCAGAGGUGUAUUCGUCCCUCUCUGGGUGUAGAGCGGUAUUUAAGGGUGACACUCGGGCACGCAGGAGGUGUGGCAGGGGGCGGGGAAUGCAAGGUCACUGUGGCUCAGGGGCGGGUGUGGGUGCAGGCGCGUUGGGAGGACCCUGGGCGCCCUGGGAAGUCCGAGGGCAGGCGGCAGGGCUGGCGGGCAGCAGUGCUGGCUUCCGACGUGAGGUGGUGACGGCGGGCCCUGCGCCCAGGCCCUGUGCUGCCGACCGCUGUCCUGGCUGCGCAGCUCCCCAGCAGGCGCCGGGCUCAGGUCGCGCCUUCAGUUAGCGCUCAGCCUGCGCUACUGCGUCUCCUCCGCUUGCGAUUUCUGGUCGGAUCCCAGCUGGCCCAGACUUGCUCUGAAGUAGGAGGAACCGCUGUCGAGCGAAAAGUGCACACCGGGUGAUUGAUGAACUCUUAAUAGAACUAACCUCUCCUGCCCCCAACCCUAGACACACACAGAGAAAACCUCCACCCCAGCCCCUUCUCCAGUCCUCCUCGCGGGCGAGAGGGGACGCGGCCGCCAGCCGGUAGGGUGAUUAACUCACCGUCUGUCUUUGCAAAAGUGUUCCAGGUGGAUCAGGAGCGCCAGCCCACCCCGCCCGCAGCCUGGCCGCUCGCUGAGGCGCGGAGAGCGCGGAACGAGCGCGCGCAUCACGUGGCGGCGCGGACGUUUGUGCCGCGCGCCCGCCAGACCGCCCAGGAGGCGGCGGCUAUUGUUCCCCGCAGGGGCCCGGGGCGCCCUGAAACGGGGUCCACGUCAGCCCGCUCCCGAGCGUGUCCUCAGGUCUAAGGACGGGUGGGGCUUCCUUUGUGUGUUCUCUGGAAGGGGCUGGGAUGGCGUCGUUGCUGCCCCAAGGGGUAACCGAGGGGGAUUGAGGGAAGAUGGUACCAGCUCCCUAGAGCUCAGCUCACCAGACCUACUCUUCCGCUCGACCCUUGCAGAGGAGGUGGGGACGGAUAUGGUAUUUGUAGGGCAGCGCUGUGAACAAUGGAGCCAUCAAAAAGGCCUUCUCCCAGCCUCCUCACCAACCACGGACAUUCCUGGCCCAACAAGACCUCCUGGCCAGGUUUUGAGCCCUGCUUCCCAGAUCUGGGGACCCUUCACCUGCCUCUACUACUGCAAAUGAUUGGAUAUUCGUCUGACUUGGCUCUUCCCUAAUGUGUGGAACUAAUUUUGUUCACUCUGUUUCAUGCUGGACCUGGCCUGAAAAUGGGCCCUUAUAUUGUCUUUGCACUUUCCAACUUGCCAAGUUUCUGAAAGAAGGACCAAAGUAAUGCCAAGAACUCCCAGAUGAAGAGGACCUUCCUUAGACCUAUAACAGAUUCACUACUUGACUUCAGAGGGAAGUUUCAGCUAAUUCUCAGGAAAAGGUCAAAACAGGCCUGUGACUGUCCCUUGAAUACUGAAGGUAUAAACAAGCUUCUGGCUCCUCCAGGUCAAGCAGAGGAACACUUUUAUUAGAAUGAAGGGUUACUUCUUUGUUAUUCAAACACACACCCACACACAUCCUCUGUAGUCUCCCUAAUGAAAAACCUCAACAGAUGGAGAGCCUGAGCUCCCAAGUCCGCAGGCUGAGAAGAUGCACUUCACUCAAGGGCCAGUGGGCUGGUACAGACUAGGGAAGAGAAAAGGGACAAAGGCUGCUAGUAUAGGUAAUCACUAUCUUUUAAUACUCCUAACACAUAGAAAUUCGAAAAAUCUUGUUCAGCAAUGUUAGCAGCCUGUGAGCCUCGGAAACUAAUUUGGCUGAUGUGUCUCUGAUAGGGAGCUUGGGGCUGCACCAAGGGGAAACAUUCUCCUCCUGUAUUCUCUCCUCUCUCUCGUUUGAAAGCCUGUACAAAGAAAUGGUACAAAUGGAUGGUUAACUUAAUGAUUCCAUCAGAGGCAGAUUUUUCUCUGUCAGGUCCCUGGAUAAGGUGGAGGUCUGAAAGCCAGGAGACAGAAUAUGUACUUAAUCGCCCUUUCUGACCUGCUUACCAGUGACCAGGACUACUCUCCAGGCCUUUCUUCUGCCACUUCCCCAUUCUUCCUGGCUAGUUCAGUUGGGUCUCAGCACUUCAACUCCUGGCUGGAUCCUGAGUUUUUCUUGGUUGCAGGGAAAGCUCUCACUGUCUGCAUCUCCUUCCCCACCCCCACCUCCCGUUUUGCAGCUGGCCAUUCUGGCUGCCUCACAGCUAUCCUGCCUUAAUUCAUAUUUGAUUGCCUGGACAGAACCACCUAGAAUGUCCAGACGACUGCCACCCCUCAGCCAUGGGCCUGAGAUCCUGCCCUGACCCCUUUCUUCAGACCCCAGGAGGACCCACAAUCUCCCUGAUCCCCACCUUCCCCAAAGUAGUCUCUAGGAAAAAAGCAGAGCUGGCUAAGGCCUGAGACAGAGCCAUUUCUUCCCCUUGGGCAAACGAGGUAGACCCUCCCAGAGACCAAUGCCGGAGAGGCCCGGAUCCGAGCUCCCUUUAUAUGGCCUCCCCCAUCACGGAUCCCGUGGGAAAACCUGACACACAAUGGCGCGGCUGCUCCGGGCACCCUCAACCCAGCGCCCUGCGGCAAGGCCUGGAGCAGCCUGGUGGUCUUGGUGCGCUCCCUUUGCCCUCCCCGCAACCCUCUGCGAGCACUCGUCCCAGGAGAGAGACCCUGGCUAGGGUGGAGGUUGCCUCCCGCAAAGGGCGCUGUUGCUGGGGCCUCCCCUCCCCCAUUCUCUUGUUUUUCUGCUUCUGAGACUCGGGAGGGAGGCGGCAGGCGCCUCCGCAGCCGAUAGAGCAGCUAUUGUGACCUUCCCUUGCAGAGCGGGAACCCAGCCGAGUGUGUACCGCCGGCGGUGGCGGGGGAGGAGGCGACUGUGUGUGCAAACCUCAGUCGGAGAGGGGGUGGCGCUGGGAAAUAAAGGUUUGCAACCUCAGGCAGUUGGGCCCUUCAGAGGGCGUUUGGUUGUGUUUAGACUCGGUUGCUUUCUAACACUAAUUGCAGGCUCAAAAGGAGCGGAAUUUAUUGCGAAGGCCAAGGCGGCUUGUUUAUAAUUUAUGAAGUUUUAAAUGGCUGUGCCGCGGGCCCCAACUUUCUCCUGGGCUGGCAGCCGCGCGGAAACGCGCCCUCCCCCGGCUCGCCGCCCACCCCCACCCACGCCCCUCAGAUGAGUCUCACGCCAAUGGCAGGAACAGAUCCGAGCUAUUAGAAGUCUCGGGAACCUCCAGAGAUGACAGAAGGUGGCAGAUUUGGUCCAAGCCCUCACCCCACUCGAGAGGAGGGCGUCGGGGAAAGCUGUGGCUGCCUGGAGAGGGAGCCCCUGAUCCCACACUUCCUUGGAGCCUGAGUGUGAGAGGAAGCUAAUGUCAGCCGGGCUAGACACCGUUUAAAGUCUAAUCCAUGAAACCCUAAGCCGCAAAUGACACUUGGGGCUUUGCAGACACCCGCAGACUCAGCAGAUACUCCUGCGGUAACACACUGUGCUGGAAAACGCCUGGAGCCAUGACACAUUACGUAUUUUUAUUAUUAUUUAUGGUAGGAAGAGGAGAUGAGGGAAAAUCGGGCUGAAUCUAAGCAGCCUGACAAUUCAGCUAGUUAAUAUUUAGCCAGUUAAGAAAGGUGGUUGUAAUCCCUGCAAGGCAGUGAGCUCUCCUUUGAUUUCUCUAAUAGCUUAAAAAAUAAUUUCUUACAAGACAAUUAGAAAUUCUGCCUAUGGAUGCAAAUUUCAUAGAAAACAAUGUUAAGCCUUGAAAGUGGGUAAAAUGUGCCUUCGAUUGAAGUCAUUUAUUCUGUUGAUACACUUCUACAACAUAUAUAUUUUAAACCUGCUCAGAUAAAGUGAAAUUUAGCAAAAGGAUAUCCCCUCCCACCCCCAAAUCUAACAUGCCAUUUUAAAAACAGCACAAAGGAACAAGGAAACUAAAUAUUAUUUUGAGCCAUCAUUACUUAGUGAAAUACAAACAUCCAAAUAGAAACGAUUGUUGUUCCACCAGAAGAUUAGAAGUUAAAUUAUUUCCACACAAUAGGAAUUUCACUUCGUGUCAUCGGGGAUGUAGUAGGAGUUGCAUUAUUUGUCAAACCAAAUAGAGAUGCGUGGGCUGACUUUGCUGAAAUACAAAAGAAUUGAACCUUAUCUGAAGGCGUUUUCUAAGUGGCCCCUCCCAUAGAAGCCGGGAAGUUGUCCACCCCUAGCAGAAGCCACAUUAAUAUUUACAAAAUGGUUAUAAAUCCUUGAAGACAUUUUUGCCCAUUUUGUAUAAGAAACAGGAGUAAACAAGGUGUUUAUACUUGUUAUGUUUCAUUAAUGAAAUAUUAUUACUUUACAUCUUGGGGAAUGUUUGUUUUCUUUAGAAAUGAACUAAUGAUCACUACAAAGGAAGAAUUCAUGACAGCAUUUCCUAGAGAAAAAGCUUAGGUACGCGUCUCCAAAUGAUGGUUUCUUUUUCUACACCUUAGCUUUUUCAUAGCUCAAUUCUUCUUACAACUUCUCUUGUGUUUUUUCUUUGAUUGUCAGUUUUCUUUCAAAGUUUAUUUUUUGUUACUUAAUGCAGAAAAGUGAGCUCUGGUCUCCCCAGUGUAAAAGUCGAUUGUGUCUAGAAAGAAGGCAGUAAAAACAGCAAAGCAGGCGCUGCUUUCAAAAAGCCCUGCCCAAAUCAUCCCGCCCAGAACCUUCUUAGGUUUGCAUCCUCAUUUCCCCCUCCCCUAAUUUCAAUAGCUGGAAAGUAAUCAAGUAUCCCGAGAACCAAUUUAUGCACUAGACUCCAAAUAAAUAAAAUAUUUUUUUCAAAGUGUCAGUCUGUUUCGGGGCCUUCCAUGGGGAUUGUGCGAGAUAAAGGCAUAGUGAUCUGCUUGCAAGUGUGCAUGAUUAACACAGAUACAGUUCCGACUGGGAAAUUUUUUUAUUCUAAAUAUUUGUUCCAAUAGUACCAGACAAUUUGAAAUCAAUAAACUGUGGUGAGGACUGUGGUUUUUGAGAAAUGACCAAAGUGUGUUGUGCCACGCCACCGGGCUUCCUGACUCUACCCAUGAAGGACAAUUUGCGGUCUUAAUCCUUUAUGUCAACUACAAACACCAGCCACGGUUACGACUGUUCAAAACUACUCUCUCAACUAGUUCAGACCAGGGGGACUAAGGAGGUGAAAUGUGGCCCCCACGGCCUGGAAGCGAAUUCCUAAGCUCGGCUGGAUAAAUCUACAAAUAUACACAUAAAUACAUUCAGACAAGGAUAAAUAAUCAGGGAACGAAAUGACUCGCUUCAAAUAAUAAAUACAGAUAGUUUAGUCCGAUGCAAUCCUUACGGCACAGGAAGGAGAAUAUAAAUUAAGGUCUCUGAAACUAAGCUAGACGCGGGCCAGGCCCAAGACUCUCCAAGCUCUGGUCCCUCUGCAGGGCGCGCCGCUGAUGGGUCUCAGACUUACCUUUGGGACACCAUUACCAGAUUGGAGUCCCUUGGUCCGCAGUAUGUGGCACUGUCAAAUUUACAGGGAAGGAUCCUUGCGGCUGAUUUAUGGCGAGUCACCCAAAGGACGCCCAUGGAGGGGAGGCCCGGUCGCCUGCGCCUCCGCCGCUGGAGGCCUGAGACCCGGGAGGCGGCGGCAGGGCAAGAGCGGGGAAGGGGGUUCCCGAACUGCCCCGCGGGCCCCACC
rnacentral:lncRNA from 1 species